rnacentral:rRNA from 1 species
CCUACGGGAGGCAGCAGUAGGGAAUAUUGCUCAAUGGGGGAAACCCUGAAGCAGCAACGCCGCGUGGAGGAUGAAGGUUUUCGGAUUGUAAACUCCUUUUGUUAGAGAAGAUAAUGACGGUAUCUAACGAAUAAGCACCGGCUAACUCCGUGCCAGCAGCCGCGGUAAUACGGAGGGUUUAAGCGUUACUCGGAAUCACUGGGCGUAAAGAGCGCGUAGGCGGGAUAGCAAGUCAGAUGUGAAAUCCUAGGGCUUAACCAUAGAACUGCAUUUGAAACUGUUAUUCUAGAGUAUGCGAGAGGUAGGUGGAAUUCGUGGUGUAGGGGUAAAAUCCGUAGAGAUCAAGAGGAAUACUCAUUGCGAAGGCGACCUGCUAGAACAUAACUGACGCUGAUGCGCGAAAGCGUGGGGAGCAAACAGGAUUAGAUACCCGAGUAGUC